rnacentral:rRNA from 1 species
UGGGGAAUCUUCCGCAAUGGACGAAAGUCUGACGGAGCAACGCCGCGUGUAUGACGAAGGCCUUCGGGUUGUAAAGUACUGUCUUUGGGGACGAACGGUAUCUAUGUAAAUAAUGUAGAUACAUGACGGUACCCAAGGAGGAAGCCCCGGCUAACUACGUGCCAGCAGCCGCGGUAAUACGUAGGGGGCGAGCGUUGUCCGGAAUCAUUGGGCGUAAAGGGCGCGUAGGCGGGUCAUUAAGUCUGGUGUGAAAGGCAGGGGCUCAACCCCUGGAAGGCACCGGAAACUGGUUAUCUUGAGGACAGGGAGAGGAAAGCGGAAUUCCACGUGUAGCGGUGAAAUGCGUAGAUAUGUGGAGGAACACCAGUGGCGAAGGCGGCUUUCUGGACUGUAACUGACGCUGAGGCGCGAAAGCGUGGGGAGCAAACAGGAUUAGAUACCCU